rnacentral:lncRNA from 1 species
AAACUUUCUAAAAGCCAAAUCCAUCUUAACUGCAGGGGACUCUAGGGACCUGAAUUCAUCCUUUGGGAAGAUGACCUUCCAGGAUGCACCUACAUCUGAAAUAUGAAAGCAGAUGUAGUGUUUGUUUUGGCUGCGCUCUGCAAGGUCACUUCACCCUAUGGCUUUUAGGAAUCCCAGAAUGGCUGGAGUGAGAAGGGACCUCCGAGUCUAUCUGGCCCAACCCCUGACCAAGCAGGGACACCCAGAGCAGGGUGGCCAGGGUCAUGGCCAGGCAGCUUCUGAAGAUCUCAAAGGAGGAGACCCCGCAGCCUCUCUGGGCAAUCUGUACCGGUGCUCUGUCACAUGCAGAGCACAGAAGUGCUGCCUUGUGUUCAGGGGGAACCUACUGUCCUCCAGUUUGAUGCUGUGUUCUAAGGAGACUCUUUAGUGGCUCAGUGCCAUGUGCACGUUUGUCUCCAUGUGUUCAAGAGUGUGGUGUCCUCUGGAUCACUCACUGCUGCUAAUUCUGCCACGUGGGUCAGCUGGAUCCCAGGUCAGCAUGAAGCCAUUUCUCUUGCGUGCAAAAGGAAAGCCAGCCUAUUUAAUGUGUGCCAUCAGCAGCUCGAAAGCACCAAUGUUUUAUCUCUUGUCAUUCAUUACAAACAAAUUGUAUCCUUCUUCAUAGUUGCCAUGCAGGAUAGAUAUCGAGGAUCUGUAUGAUAUUGUUCAGUGUUUAAAAAAUAUUUAAUCAUCACUGUAGAGUACAAUUUGCAUUAUUCCCAUUUUUCAUGCCAACAUGAUUUGUAUGGCAGCCAAUGUAUGCUAAUUAGUCAAAUUUCCCUAAUUAAUUUUUGUUAACGUGUUGUCCUGACAUGACUUGAAAUGUACAGCUUAUUGUAUUAAAUGUAUUAAAAUUGCUUCUGCUUUCUACUGUAUACCAGGGAAUAAUCUGCUACCAACAGCAAGUGUUUACAACAAUUUUUAAAUGCACAUAUUCUAAUUAAAGUGAACAUCCAACAUGUUGGCCAAGGGUGAGUCAUACUUCA